rnacentral:rRNA from 1 species
GUCUACAGCCAUACCACCCUGAAUGCGCCCAAUCUUGUCUGAUCUCAGAAGCUAAGCAGGGUUGGACCAGGUUAGUACUUGGAUGGGAGGUAGAAUUUUUUCAGAGUGCUUUUAAUC